rnacentral:rRNA from 1 species
AUUGAACGCUGGCGGCAUGCUUUACACAUGCAAGUCGAACGGUAACAGGGUGCUUGCACCGCUGACGAGUGGCGAACGGGUGAGUAAUGCGUCGGAACGUGCCGAGUAGUGGGGGAUAACGCAUCGAAAGGUGUGCUAAUACCGCAUACGUACUGAGGUAGAAAGUGGGGGACCUUCGGGCCUCACGCUAUUCGAGCGGCCGACGUCUGAUUAGCUAGUUGGUGAGGUAAAGGCUCACCAAGGCGACGAUCAGUAGCGGGUCUGAGAGGAUGAUCCGCCACACUGGGACUGAGACACGGCCCAGACUCCUACGGGAGGCAGCAGUGGGGAAUUUUGGACAAUGGGCGCAAGCCUGAUCCAGCCAUGCCGCGUGUCUGAAGAAGGCCUUCGGGUUGUAAAGGACUUUUGUCCGGGAGCAAAUGCCUGGUGUUAAUAGCACUGGGAGCUGAGAGUACCGGAAGAAUAAGCACCGGCUAACUACGUGCCAGCCGCCGCCGUAACAC